GCCUAACCUCAGACCUAUUGAAGCAGAAUUUCUGAGAGUAGGAGAAAAGACUGCCAUCUGGGGUUUAAUAAGCUCUUCUGUGAUUCUGACACAGGCUGAAGUUUGAGAACAACUGGUCUAAGUUUUGUGGAACACUGGGGCAGAGGAAAAGUUUGACAACUUGUUCGUGUGACCCAAGGAACAAGUGCCCAUGUUUACCUUGGAGGUUGGAAGAUGAGUUAAGACAGACGCUAGAGCAUAUGGGCCCUAAGGCAGCGACCACCCCUGGGACAUUUUUUCAUGGGUAUUUGAUGUACCAACUGUAAAGUUAGAUGGU
rnacentral:lncRNA from 1 species